rnacentral:rRNA from 1 species
AGGGCGUAUGGGGAAUGCCUAGGCUCUUGGAGGCGAAGAAAGACGUGGUAAGCUGCGAUAAGCUUCGGGGAUUUGCAAACAAGAUUUGAUCCGGAGAUUUCUGAAUGGGACAACCCGUCAGGUAGAAGACCUGACACAUCGCAAGAUGGGCCAACCCUCUGAACUGAAACAUCUUAGUAGGAGGAGGAAAAGAAAGAAACAUCGAUUUCCUAAGUAGCGGCGAGCGAACGGGAAACAGCCUAAACCACAAUUGUUACGGCAACUGUGGGGUUGUAGGACUGCAAUAUUCAAAUGACUGUGAACUGGAAUGUUCUGGAAAGUUCAUCCAUAGAGAGUGAAAGACUCGUACAGGCAAGCACGUCAGGCGAUAGCAGUAUCCUGAGUAGGGCGGGACACGAGGAAUCCUGUCUGAAUCCGCCGGGACCACCCGGUAAGGCUAAAUACUCCCAAGAGACCGAUAGUGAACCAGUACCGUGAGGGAAAGGUGAAAAGAACCCCGAACAGGGGAGUGAAAUAGAACCUGAAACCAUACGCUUACAACCGGUCGGAGCAGCUUCGUGCUGUGACGGCGUGCCUAUUGAAUAAUGAGCCUACGAGUUACUAAUCACUAGCGAGGUUAAGUGCAAGGAUGCACGGAGCCGAAGCGAAAGCGAGUCUGAACAGGGCGUUUAGUUAGUGGUUGUAGACGCGAAACCUUGCGAUCUACCCUUGAGCAGGUUGAAGGUUGGGUAAAACCAACUGGAGGACCGAACGAAUAAGCGUUGAAAAGCUUCUCGAUGACUUGAGGGUAGGGGUGAAAGGCUAAUCAAGCUGGGAAAUAGCUCGUACUCCCCGAAAUGCCUUUAGGGGCAGCGUUGUAAUUAAGAGUCUACUGGAGGUAGAGCUACUGAUUGGAUGCGGGGGCUUCACCGCCUACCAAAUCCUGACAAACUCCGAAUGCCAGUAGUAUGAUUUACAGCAGUGAGUGACUGGGUGCUAAUGUCCAGUCGCAAAAGAGGAACAACUCAGACCAGCAACUAAGGUCCCGAAGAAUAUGCUAAGUUGAUCUAACGAUGUUUUGUUGCAGAGACAGCUAGGAUGUUAGCUUGGAAGCAGCUAUUCAUUCAAAGAGUGCGUAACAGCUCACUAGUCGAGCGACAGAGCGUGGAUAAUAAACGGGCAUCAAGCAUAUCACCGAAGUUCUGGGCGCGAGAGCGCGGUAGGGGAGCAUUCCAUUCAGCGUCGAAGCAGUUUCGUGAGGAAUUGUGGAGCGUAUGGAAAAGCAAAUGUAGGCAUGAGUAACGAUAAUGCGGGAGAGUAACCCGCACACCGCAAGACCAAGGUUUCCUGAUCAACGCUAAUCGGAUCAGGGUUAGUCGGGUCCUAAGGGUAAGCCGAACGGUGAUCUCGAUGGACAAUCGGUUAAUAUUCCGAUACUAACAUAUACCUCGAUGGAGAGACGAAGGAACGUAAGUGCCGCCACCUGACGGAAUAGGUGGUUAAAGGGCGUAGGUAUAGGGGCAGAUUAAGAGUUAGUCCUUGCUGAAACCUGACAGUACAGAGAGCCUACGGGCAAUUUGAUAGAGCACCCAAGUCGACUUCCGAGAAAAUCUUCUAAGUUAUAGUAUAUGUUACCCGUACCGUAAACCGACACAGGUGGUCGAGGAGAGUAUCCUAAGGUGCUCGAGUGAAUCACGGUUAAGGAACUAGGCAAAUUAACCCCGUAACUUCGGGAAAAGGGGUCCCUAUGAAAGUAGGGCGCAGCGAAGAGGUCCAGGCGACUGUUUAUCAAAAACACAGGGCUCUGCAAAUUCGAAAGAAGACGUAUAGGGCCUGACACCUGCCCGGUGCUGGAAGGUUAAGAGGGGAUGUCAUCGCAAGAGAAGCAUUGAAUCGAAGCCCCAGUAAACGGCGGCCGUAACUAUAACGGUCCUAAGGUAGCGAAAUUCCUUGUCGGGUAAGUUCCGACCUGCACGAAUGGUGUAACGAUCUGGACACUGUCUCAACCGUGAGCUCGGUGAAAUUGUAGUCCCGGUGAUGAUGCCGGGUACCCGCAACGGGACGAAAAGACCCCGUGAACCUUUACUAUAGCUUAACGCUGAAUUUGGGUACACAAUGUGUAGGAUAGG